GACUCAGUGAUCUAGUGGUUAAGCGUUUGCCGCGUAGCCAGAAGGUCCUGGGCUCGAUCCCCGGCGGGGUCA
rnacentral:tRNA from 1 species